rnacentral:rRNA from 1 species
GAUGAACGCUGGCGGCGUGCCUAAUACAUGCAAGUCGAGCGAACGGACGAGAAGCUUGCUUUUCUGAUGUUAGCGGCGGACGGGUGAGUAACACGUGGAUAACCUACCUAUAAGACUGGGAUAACUUCGGGAAACCGGAGCUAAUACCGGAUAAUAUUUUGAACCGCAUGGUUCAAAAGUGAAAGACGGUCUUGCUGUCACUUAUAGAUGGAUCCGCGCUGCAUUAGCUAGUUGGUAAGGUAACGGCUUACCAAGGCAACGAUGCAUAGCCGACCUGAGAGGGUGAUAGGCCACACUGGAACUGAGACACGGUCCAGACUCCUACGGGAGGCAGCAGUAGGGAAUCUUCCGCAAAGGGCGAAAGCAUGACGGAGCAACGCCGCGUGAGUGAUGAAGGUCUUCGGAUCGUAAAACUCUGUUAUUAGGGAAGAACAUAUGUGUAAGUAACUGUGCACAUCUUGACGGUACCUAGUCAGAAAGCCACGGCUAACUACGUG